AUUGAACGCUGGCGGCAGGCUUAACACAUGCAAGUCGAGCGGAGUGAUGGUGCUUGCACUAUCACUUAGCGGCGGACGGGUGAGUAAUGCUUAGGAAUCUGCCAUUUAGUGGGGGACAACAUUCCGAAAGGAAUGCUAAUACCGCAUACGUCCUACGGGAGAAAGCAGGGGAUCUUCGGACCUUGCGCUAAAUGAUGAGCCUAAGUCGGAUUAGCUAGUUGGUGGGGUAAAGGCCUACCAAGGCGACGAUCUGUAGCGGGUCUGAGAGGAUGAUCCGCCACACUGGGACUGAGACACGGCCCAGACUCCUACGGGAGGCAGCAGUGGGGAAUAUUGGACAAUGGGCGGAAGCCUGAUCUAGCCAUGCCGCGUGUGUGAAGAAGGCCUUUUGGUUGUAAAGCACUUUAAGCGAGGAGGAGGCUACUAGUACUAAUACUACUGGAUAGUGGACGUUACUCGCAGAAUAAGCAUCUACAAACCACGUGCCAGCCGCCGCCGUAACAC
rnacentral:rRNA from 1 species